CUAUCCGGAGCCGAUUCGUCAACCGAACCAGUCCACGGUCAUCAUUUCAUCGCGAGAUUCUCUCUCUCUUUCUCUCUAACCCUCCGAUGGCCACGGCUGCGGCUGCGGCUCUUCUUCUGAACCGACCCUGCGGUGCCGUUCCGUCCACGCUCCCGUCCCUCCCUUACCGGAGAAUCGGCUCCUCCCGUCUCCGCGGCGAUCGUUUCUUCAGCCUCGACCUUCGGCUUCGCCGGAGCAAGCCCGAGGCGCCUCCGCCGGCGGCGGCGGCGAAUAAGCAGCUUCCGAAGUUGAAGGCGAACGAGCCAGGGAGCGAGGAUCCGCCGUCUUCGAGCGGCGGUAGCAGCGGAGGCCUCGAUUUGGGAUGGCUUCCCGCUUUUCCUCACGUGCUGAUUGCUUCCAUGUCCACUUUCCUGUUCGGUUAUCACAUCGGCGUAAUGAAUGGACCCAUAGUCUCCAUUGCAAGGGAGCUUGGUUUUGAAGGCAACCCAAUCAUUGAGGGACUUGUAGUAAGCAUAUUUAUAGCUGGUGCUUUUAUCGGAAGUAUAAGCUGUGGUUCACUGGUCGAUAGGCUCGGUUGUCGGCGCACAUUCCAGAUAGAUACAGUACCGCUCAUUCUUGGUGCAAUCGUUAGUGCACAAGCCAACUCAUUGGAUGAAAUACUUUUGGGGAGAUUUCUAGUGGGCCUCGGUAUUGGUGUGAAUACUGUUCUUGUUCCAAUAUAUAUUUCAGAGGUUGCUCCUACAAAAUGUAGGGGUUCCCUUGGAACAAUCUGUCAGAUAGGUACCUGCCUUGGAAUCAUUGCUUCAUUGUAUCUGGGAAUUCCAUCGGAAGAUGAUCCACAUUGGUGGAGGACAUUGCUGUAUAUUGCCAGUGUCCCUGGUUUUAUAAUUAUACUUGGGAUGCAGUUUGCUGUUGAUAGCCCCCGUUGGCUUUGCAAAGUGGGGAAAGUGGGCGAUGCUAGAGAAGUUAUUUCUAAUCUAUGGGGUGCAUCUGAGGUUGAUAAAGCGAUUGAAGAAUUUCAGUCUGUUAUUAAGAGUGAUAGAAGUGAAGUAGACAGCAAAUGGUCGGAACUCCUUGAGGAGCCACAUUUAAGAGUUGCAUGUAUUGGAGGUGCCCUUUUCGUACUGCAGCAAUUUGCUGGCAUAAAUGGAGUUCUUUACUUCUCAUCCUUGACUUUCCAGGAUGUUGGUAUCACAAAUGGCGCUUUAGCAAGUUUGUUAGUUGGAUUGACAAACUUUGCAGGUGCUCUCUGUGCACUGUACUUGAUGGACAGUCAGGGAAGAAAAAGACUUCUAGUUGGAAGCUACAUAGGAAUGGCAGCAGCAAUGUUUCUUGUAGUCUAUGCUGUCAGUUUUCCGCUAGAUGAAGACCUCAGCCACUCACUAUCAAUUCUAGGAACCCUUAUGUACAUAUUCACUUUCGCUGUUGGUGCUGGGCCUGUAACCGGUAUCAUCAUACCAGAACUAAGCAGCACGAGAAUGCGUGGGAAGAUUAUGGGAUUCAGCCUUUCUGUUCAUUGGGUCUGCAACUUCUUGGUUGGUCUCUUCUUCCUUGAACUUACUGAGACUUAUGGGGUUAAGUCAGUUUAUGGUGGCUUUGGUGCCAUUUCCUUGUUAUCUGCGAUAUUUGCUUAUUAUUUCAUAGUAGAAACAAAAGGAAGGUCACUCGAAGAAAUAGAGAUGUCUCUAAAUCCCAACUUGCAAGGUAGAGAGAGGGACAACUAAUCAUAUCUUGAUCUCAAGGUUUGCUGAUGAGGCAAGGAGCUCAAUGUAAGUUGAAUUCUGAUGCUAGAUGGACUUUCCAAGAGUUCAUGUUUUUAUGGUUGAUCUUGCGGCCAAGGCUUUCACCUCCAAAGUAAAAGCUAACUAGUUACUCAUCAAGGUGGAGGAAGGGGAUGCUCACAGUUUCAAUUGGAUGUGUUGAGUGAAUGCUGUUCCAACAAUGAAUUUGCGCUCUUAAGAGAUAUUCACUGCAAAAUGAAAAGGUGUACGCAGUGGGUACCAUGUCAACGGAUGAGACGACAAUAUUGCAUGGGCAAUGUUCAAGGAGAAUCUUCCAGGAAUUUUUUUUUUUUUUUUGGGGCCCGAGAAUUUUCCAAAACUGGUGUAUUCACUAUCAUCAUCUUCAAGGAAAGAAUAUGCUGUACCAAAGUCUUUGGGGCGAUGCUCUGUAAACAGGACAUUGAUGUUGUGACUGAAACCCCCUGGUAAGGACACUGACUCUGAAAAUCAGUCUUUUGAACGGUGGGCUUUGGGAGGCAUACCAAGUCAUUCCAAGUUCCAGGUCAUUUACAAAUUGGACUGUGGCUUCGCUUUCUCUGCCAAAAUGUUUAUUCCCCACUUGCUUGAGUUGAGGUGACCUUUCUUUUCCGGAAUGAAAGUUUGGCACUUUAUGGAAUCUGGAACCAUACAAGUUUCCCUUUUCAGUAGUUGAUGGUGUUGCUAGUACUAACGAUGACGUGAGGAGAGGUAUUAAAGGGCAGAUUACAUUGCUGGGAAUCAAGGGUCAAUGACCACAUUAUCA